GGAAAGCAAUUGGGGAUGACCCAAGGCCUUGGGACCCUGCACCCAUGUGGAAAACCCAGAGGAAGCUUCUGGCUCCUGGUUUCAGAUCGGAGAGCUCAGGCCAUUACAACCACUUUGGGAGUGAAUCAUGGAUUAAAGCACUGCUUGGGACACAUGCAUCCCAUACCUAAGCGACGGGUUCAAGUCCAAGGUUCCACCUAAUGUACUUGGAAAGGAGUGCAUGACGGCUAGGGUUCCUACUACUCACAGGAGAGCCAGAUGGAGUUCCCGGCUCCUGGUUUUAACCUGGCCAAGCUCCAACUACAAGUACAUUUGCAGUAUGAACCAGCAAACACUACCCUCAGCUUCCUAGAGGUGCUCGCCCAGCUCCACGGCACAGAGCAACAGCACAACCUACGAGCCCACUCUCUCCAACACAUCCAGCCAUGUCAGGGCCACUGCUGCUGCAGGAGACCAUGGCAAACACAU